rnacentral:misc_RNA from 1 species
GUGAGUCAUCGAAUCUUUGAACGCACAUUGCACCUCUCGUGAGGGAGGUAUGCCUGUCUGAGCGUCAUUAAAACCAAUAAAUCUAAGGAUUUGUGUUGGGCUCCGCAUGUGUGCGUUGCCUCAAAGUCAUGGUCUAACCUGCGGACGAGCUCCUUUUGGACCUGCCGUGGUGGGACUUUUCAUCUCUGAAUUUGACCUCAGAUCAGGCAGGAAGACCGCCUGAACUUAAGCAUAUCAAUAAGCGGAGGAC